rnacentral:rRNA from 1 species
UCCCGUUACUGCGGGAUAACCUGCCGAAAGGCAGACUAAUACCGCAUGUUCUUCGAUGACGGCAUCAGAUUCGAAGCAAAGAUUCGUCGGUAACGGAGGGGGAUGCGUCUGAUUAGCUAGUUGGCGGGGCGACGGCCCACCAAGGCGACGAUCAGUAGGGGUUCUGAGAGGAAGGUCCCCCACAUUGGAACUGAGACACGGUCCAAACUCCUACGGGAGGCAGCAGUGAGGAAUAUUGGUCAAUGGGCGGAAGCCUGAACCAGCCAAGUAGCGUGCAGGAGGACGGCCCUACGGGUUGUAAACUGCUUUUAUGCGGGGAUAAAGUGAGGGACGUGUCCCUUUU